CGUGUAGGCGGUCAAGUAAGUGGAAUGUGAAACGCCUCGGCUUACCCGAGGACCUGCAUCCCAAACUGCUUGGCUUGAGUAUGGGAGAGGAUGAGGGAAUUCCUGGUGUAGCGGUGAAAUGCGUAGAUAUCAGGAGGAACACCGGUGGCGAAAGCGCUCAUCUGGCCCAAUACUGACGCUGGAGCGCGAAAGGCUAGGGGAGCAAACG
rnacentral:rRNA from 1 species